rnacentral:rRNA from 1 species
GUGAGGAAUUUUCCGCAAUGGGCGAAAGCCUGACGGAGCAAUGCCGCGUGAAGGAUGAAGGCCUAUGGGUUGUAAACUUCUUUUCUCAGAAAAGAAUUAUGACGGUAUCUGAGGAAUAAGCAUCGGCUAACUCUGUGCCAGCAGCCGCGGUAAGACAGAGGAUGCAAGCGUUAUCCGGAAUGAUUGGGCGUAAAGCGUCUGUAGGUUGUAUAAAAAGUAUUCUGUCAAAGAUUAGGGCUUAACCCUAGAUAGGCAGAAUAAACUUUUAAGCUAGAGUUUGGUAGAGGCAGAGGGAAUUCCCGGUGGAGCGGUGAAAUGCGUAGAUAUCGGAAAGAUCACCAAAGGCGAAGGCACUCUGCUGGGCCAAUACUAACACUGAGAGACGAAAGCGAGGGGAGCAAAUGGGAUUAGAAACCCUUGUAGUCC